GGGGGCGUCAUUGGUUUCGACGUGAUUUACAAGACCCAAAGUGCAUGCCGAGUGUGUAAGCUACUCGCUAAACAAGCUGCAAUCGUUAUAAUUGCAAACGAUACUACUUUUGCUGCUGAGGACGCUAUCGCUGCCUAACCGGCAGAGGAGAAAUCCUCUCUCGUCGUACUAAACCUACGACACAGCCCAGCGACCGCGUGAGCCCGCGCGUGUGGAAGCUGGUAAUUUAGCGGGAUCGCGACGUGGAGUGUCUAGCAACAUCGUCGUUAAAUGUAACCGCUAGGCUUGCCUUGUGUGAUCCUGUCGGUCGGAGCGCAUAAGGUGACACAAAAGACCGCUCUAAGCAUGUAGACCUUUGUGUUGCGAUUUUGCGGACGCGGGUUCAACUCCCGCCGCCUCCACCA
rnacentral:tmRNA from 2 species